GAUGAAGAACGCAGCGAAAUGCGAUAAGUAAUGUGAAUUGCAGAAUUCAGUGAAUCAUCGAAUCUUUGAACGCACAUUGCGCCCCCUGGUAUUCCGGGGGGCAUGCCUGUCCGAGCGUCAUUACAACCCUCAAGCUCAGCUUGGUGUUGGACCCCGCCGCCCCGGCGGGCCCUAAAGUCAGUGGCGGUGCCGUCCGGCUCCGAGCGUAGUAAUUCUUCUCGCUCUGGAGGUCCGGUCGUGUGCUCGCCAGCAACCCCCAAUUUUUUUCAGGUUGACCUCGGAUCAGGUAGGGAUACCCGCUGAACUUAAGCAUAUCAAUAAGCGGAGGA
rnacentral:misc_RNA from 1 species